GGUUAAGCGACUAAGCGUACACGGUGGAUGCCCUGGCAGUCAGAGGCGAUGAAGGRCGUGCUAAUCUGCGAUAAGCGCCGGUAAGGUGAUAUGAACCGUUAUAACCGGCGAUWYCCGAAUGGGGAAACCCAGUGUGAYUCGUCACACUAUCAUUAACUGAAUCCAUAGGUUAAUGAGGCGAACCGGGGGAACUGAAACAUCUAAGUACCCCGAGGAAAAGAAAUCAACCGAGAUUCCCCCAGUAGCGGCGAGCGAACGGGGAGGAGCCCAGAGCCUGAAUCAGCAUGUGUGUUAGUGGAAGCGUCUGGAAAGGCGCGCGAUACAGGGUGACAGCCCCGUACACAAAAGCGCAUGUGCUGUGAGCUCGAUGAGUAGGGCGGGACACGUGGUAUCCUGUCUGAAUAUGGGGGGACCAUCCUCCAAGGCUAAAUACUCCUGACUGACCGAUAGUGAACCAGUACCGUGAGGGAAAGGCGAAAAGAACCCCGGCGAGGGGAGUGAAAAAGAACCUGAAACCGUGUACGUACAAGCAGUGGGAGC
rnacentral:rRNA from 1 species